rnacentral:lncRNA from 1 species
CACUUCCGGGAGGUAUUCGAUCUGCCCGAUGGGGACACCUCGGUCCAGGUGCGACUGCUCCGUCUUCGCCAGGGGUCGACGAUGUCUUUCCACGAGUACACCCAGCGCUUUCGCACGUUGGCCACCGACAGUGGCUGGAACGAGCCGGCGUUGAUCACCGUUUUUCGACAGGGAAUUGAACCCGCACUGAGGCUUCAGCUGGCGGGGUACAACGACACGGUGAGCCUCGAACGGUUCAUCCUCCUCGCCAUCAGAGUGGCGAAUCGACGGGAGCAGUGUCUACACGAUCAGCCAGCCUUCUCUACACCUGCUCGCACCUCUCAGCGUACCAGUGACAGCUGGCGAGGUGCCUCCCAGCGUCCCCGAGACAGUGAGGAGGCGCCGGCGGAGCCCAUGAACAUCGACUCUCUCAAGCUGUCCCCGGAGGAACGAAUCCGCCGCCGCACUCAGGGUUUAUGCCUGUAUUGCGGAGGUAAGGGUCAUGUGGUGGUGGAUUGUCCCACUCGUCCCACACGAUCCGGGCCCAAGCCCUGAUUGACACAGGGUCCGCUGGCAACUUUAUUUCGGGGUCCAUGUGCCAGCGGCUAGGUCUCCGCAGAAUCCCGAGUCCUACCCCCUUCUCUCUCCACUCCAUCACAGGUCACCCGCUCACGAGACGGCAGGUACGGCAGGUCACCUCUCCAGUUCAGCUUGAGAUAGGUCUUCUCCAAAGGAGGAGCUUAAAUUUCUCAUCCUGGAGGAGUCCACCGCCGACCUCAUCCUCGGGCGGCCGUGGCUACUUCUACAUUCGCCUUCGCUGUCUUGGGAGACCGGAGAGGUGACGAGGUGGGGGCCGGAGUGCUCUGGCCGCUGCCUACCUGUCGUUUCACCACCCACUCCAACUUCACGCCGUCCUCAUCUGCGCACUCCUACCCCAGCACGCUUGGCACUGCAUGCCACCACUGUCGAGAGCCCCACUCAGCAGGUUAGUCACCACGUUCCCUCACAAUACAAGCAAUAUGCUGAUGUGUUUUGCCCACAGCGAGCUUCAUGCCUUCCCCCACACAGACCGGAGGACUGCAGUAUUGACCUGUUGCCCGGUGUGCCUGUGCCGCGAGGAAGGGUAUACCCUCUCG